rnacentral:misc_RNA from 1 species
CUCAACAAUGCUUUUGGUAUCCUUACAACUACUAUUACCACUACUACUAUUGUCAAACCCCUUAACCCUACCAAGCUCAAUGAAGCUACCCUGCAACGGCUCCAACUUAAACGGCCUGAAAUAGAAUGCCGUUUUGCAAUUAGGGCAAAAAUUGACCGCUUGAUAAAUGCCAGUUUCUCUGCCGGUGAUAGACAGCGGCCGGUUCGAGAACAGUACCGGCAUUUGAGAG